UACGUAGGGGGCAAGCGUUGUCCGGAAUCAUUGGGCGUAAAGAGCGUGUAGGCGGCCAGAAAAGUCCGCUGUGAAAACUCGAGGCUCAACUUCGAGCUGUCGGUGGAAACUUUCUGGCUAGAGUCCGGAAGAGGAGAAUGGAAUUCCUGGUGUAGCGGUGAAAUGCGCAGAUAUCAGGAAGAACACCCGUGGCGAAGGCGGUUCUCUGGGACGGUACUGACGCUGAGACGCGAAAGCGUGGGGAUCAAACAGG
rnacentral:rRNA from 1 species